rnacentral:rRNA from 1 species
UACGUAGGCAGCAAGCGUUGUUCGGAGUUACUGGGCGUAAAGGGUGCGUAGGCGGCUUUUUAAGUUUGGUGUGAAAUCGCCCGGCUCAACUGGGCGGGGUCAGCGGAUACGGCGGAGCUUGAGCAAGCUAGGGGGCAAUGGAAUUCCCGGUGUAGUGGUGGAAUGCGUAGAUAUCGGGAGGAACACCAGUGGCGAAGGCGGUUC